AAUAGCUAAAUUUUUCUUCCUUAAGCUUCUUCUUCUCGAGCUUCUCAAUUAGUGGGCCCACGCCCAUGAAAUCCUCAUUUUCCUCAGCAUCAAUAUCCGCUGUAUCUAAUCCUUUCUUCUUUCUCUCUUCCCUUUCCCUUUGCUUGUCUCUUUCGACGUCGAGGAAUAGCUCUCUGAUUACUCUAUCCGCCUGCGGUGUUCGGUAUGAUGCGGAGGAGAAUAAAC
rnacentral:lncRNA from 1 species